UUUUUUUUUUUUUAAAAAAAAUGGAGCAUAAGAGGUAGUCCGCGACUGACUUUUCCUAAUAUCCACCAUAAUUGGGGAUUAAACAAGAUGAUGUAUUGAAAGAUCCAAGUGACACCAUGCAUUAAGUGCUAAGAACUGCUAUAAUUGAUUACACUGAACAUUAAAGCUCUCAAGUGCUUAAGCCAACCUCAUCCCCAUUUCCACAAAGAACUUUCAAGAAACCAAGGAGAUAGUUCGAAAUUUUCCAAAGGUAAAACUUAUUGAAAGAUCUGAAGAUAGAAGGGUGUUAAGCACCAUGAUUCGCACGUUUAUUUCUCUCACCGGACUAGACUUUACUUGGCUUCUGACAGAAAUAUAAAAUCAACGGAGUAUCUGGGUCAGAAGUACAAGACAAUACAGCAGUAAUAAGAUAUGAAUAUUGAAAAGCAGAAACCUGAUACCUUUUACA
rnacentral:misc_RNA from 1 species